rnacentral:lncRNA from 1 species
AUUAAAGGCAGUUUUAUAAAACCUCCCUUAAAUUUACAGAAUAAAGCAAAUACACAGGAGGAAAUAUACCACCAAGGAUUAAAGAAGCUCAUGUCAGGACCAGGGAGUUUGCAGUCACAUAGAGUGACUCCCAGGGAAAUCAAAACAACCAGUAACCAUGGUGUGGUCUGCAUUUCCAACCAUUUAUGGAUUACAGUAGAACAAGGAAAACAGGGCCUAUGAAGAACCCCC